AUUGAACGCUGGCGGCAGGCCUAACACAUGCAAGUCGAACGGUAACAGGAAGCAGCUUGCUGCUUCGCUGACGAGUGGCGGACGGGUGAGUAAUGUCUGGGAAACUGCCUGAUGGAGGGGGAUAACUACUGGAAACGGUAGCUAAUACCGCAUAACGUCGCAAGACCAAAGAGGGGGACCUUAGGGCCUCUUGCCAUCGGAUGUGCCCAGAUGGGAUUAGCUAGUAGGUGGGGUAACGGCUCACCUAGGCGACGAUCCCUAGCUGGUCUGAGAGGAUGACCAGCCACACUGGAACUGAGACACGGUCCAGACUCCUACGGGAGGCAGCAGUGGGGAAUAUUGCACAAUGGGCGGAAGCCUGAUGCAGCCAUGCCGCGUGUAUGAAGAAGGCCUUCGGGUUGUAAAGUACUUUUAGCGGGGAGGAAGGGAGUAAAGUUAAUACCUUUGCUCAUUGACGUUACCCGAAGAAGAAGCACCGGCUAACUCCGUG
rnacentral:rRNA from 1 species